UACGUAGGUGGCAAGCGUUGUCCGGAAUUAUUGGGCGUAAAGCGCGCGCAGGUGGUUUCUUAAGUCUGAUGUGAAAGCCCACGGCUCAACCGUGGAGGGUCAUUGGAAACUGGGGAACUUGAGUGCAGAAGAGGUAAGUGGAAUUCCAAGUGUAGCGGUGAAAUGCGUAGAGAUUUGGAGGAACACCAGUGGCGAAGGCGACUUUCUGGUCUGUAACUGACACUGAGGCGCGAAAGCGUGGGGAGCGAACAGG
rnacentral:rRNA from 1 species